AUAUACAUAAAAUAUAAUUUUUAUACUUAUCAAACAUUCUUUAGAAAUUAGUAUAAAUAAGAGAUCUAUUUUCAAACCCCAAAACACACACCCAUAUGCAGAAAAUACCUUCCCUAUAAUUUUUUCUAGUCUUCAAGCUUUCUCAUCUUUCCUUUGGCUUGAUCGCAUUGUUUUGGUAAUUUUUUUUAUUCUUAGAAGGGUGCUAAAUUAUUUUACCAAGUAUUGAUUCAUGAUUAAACUUUUCUGAAAAGGUUUCAACUACUUUUAAAUCUAUGGAUGUUUCGAAAAUUUGUUGUUAAGGUUUUAUAUUGUUAGUUUGACUUCUAUUAGUAUUACUAUUAUUAAUUUUUCCAAAUCACAUCAAAGGUGAUGGUUUCGUUUCGUAUAUAUAUAUAUAUAUAUAUAUAUAUUCUAUUAUAAGUUGAUGGCUUUAUUUGUUUUUUUUUUCUAUUUAAGAGUAGUUUAGUUACUUUAAAAGUUUUCAUCAAUAGUAAUUUUCGUAUUUGCUUAUGCUUAUAUAUAUAUAUAUAUAUAUGAUUAGAAUUGGUUAUAUUUAUAAAUAUACGAUUAUACAGAUUUGUUCUUAAGAUUCUAGUUUAAGUUAUAGUUAGGAUUCAUAUUGAAACGUUUUAUCUAUUUAAUUAGGUGUGGUGCAAUGAGGAUCCUCUUUUCGGAUUUGAUUGAAUUUAUAAGUUUCGACAUUAAGGUGAGGGAUUUUACGCUUAUUCAUAUGGUUAUAUAUGUUUUUAUUAUCGCGUUGAUUACUUGUUUACGUGCAUCUUAUGACUAUGUUGUUAUGUGUGAUCAUGGGACCUAAGCCAUUGAUCUAUAUUGUUAUGUGCGAUCAUGGGACCUAAGCCAUUGAUCUAUGUUGUUAUGUGCGAUCAUGGGACCUAAGCCAUUGAUCUAUGUAUGUUAUGUGCGAUCAUGGGACCUAAGCCAUUGAUCUAUGAUGUUAUGUGCGAUCAUGGGACCUAAGCCAUUGAUCUAUGUUGAUAAGUUGAUCAUGGGACCUAAGCCAUUGAUCUAUGUAUGUGUUUGGUCAUGGGACUUAAGCCAUCGACUCAAACUAUGAUUAUGUUUGUCAAGGGGCUCCGGUCUCUUGGCGUAUGUUUGCAAGUAUGAUAACGUGAUUUGAUUAUAUAUGUGACGUAUAUGAAUAUUUGUUAUGUUCCUCACUGAGUAUAUUUUCAAUAUGCUCACCCCUUAUCUUUUCAGUUUUGCAGUUCUGGAGUUGAGGCGGCCAUGGAAGUCGAGAAUGACUAGAGAUUUAGUAAUUUUAUAGAAGUUUGAGUUGAAUUUAAAUUGAUUUAAACUUUUAUAAUUCAAGAAAUUUUAUUUUAUCUAUUAGUUUUUCAAAAAUUUUAUAUUGAAAAGUUUAUGAAAAUUGGGGUGUUACAUGUAUAGUAGAUUUAUUUUAAAGAAGAUCAUAGUUACUCA
rnacentral:lncRNA from 1 species